UACGUAGGGUGCAAGCGUUGUCCGGAAUUAUUGGGCGUAAAGAGCUCGUAGGCGGUUUGUUGCGUCGGCUGUGAAAUCCCGAGGCUCAACCUCGGGUCUGCAGUCGAUACGAGCAAACUAGAGUGUUGCAGGGGAGACUGGAAUUCCUGGUGUAGCGGUGAAAUGCGCAGAUAUCAGGAGGAACACCGGCGGCGAAGGCGGGUCUCUGGGCAACAACUGACGCUGGAGGAGCGAAAGCGUGGGGAGCGAACAGG
rnacentral:rRNA from 1 species